CGACGGCGGUGUUUGGCACCUCGAUGUCGGCUCAUCACAUCCUGGGGCUGAAGUAGGUCCCAAGGGUAUGGCUGUUCGCCAUUUAAAGUGGUACGCGAGCUGGGUUUAGAACGUCGUGAGACAGUUCGGUCCCUAUCUGCCGUGGGCGCUGGAGAACUGAGGGGGGCUGCCCCUAGUACGAGAGGACCGGAGUGGACGCAUCACUGGUGUUCGGGUUGUCAUGCCAAUGGCACUGCCCGGUAGCUAAAUGCGGAAGAGAUAAGUGCUGAAAGCAUCUAAGCACGAAACUUGCCCCGAGAUGAGUUCUCCCUGAGACUUUAGGUCUCCUGAAGGAACGUUGAAGACGACGACGUUGAUAGGCCGGGUGUGUAAGCGCAGCGAUGCGUUGAGCUAACCGGUACUAAUGAACCGUGAGGCUUAACCUUACAACGCCGAAG
rnacentral:rRNA from 1 species